GGGCCGAUAGCAUAAUAGGUUAAUGCACUCGACUCAUAAUCGGAAGACGGAGCGGUUCAAAUCCCUUGGCCUACCA
rnacentral:tRNA from 1 species